UACGCAGGGGGCAAGCGUUAUCCGGAUUUACUGGGUGUAAAGGGAGCGUAGACGGCGAUGCAAGUCUGAAGUGAAAGGCGGGGGCCCAACCCCCGGACUGCUUUGGAAACUGUAUGGCUGGAGUGCAGGAGAGGUAAGUGGAAUUCCUAGUGUAGCGGUGAAAUGCGUAGAUAUUAGGAGGAACACCAGUGGCGAAGGCGGCUUACUGGACUGUAACUGACGUUGAGGCUCGAAAGCGUGGGGAGCAAACAGG
rnacentral:rRNA from 1 species